rnacentral:rRNA from 1 species
AGUGAACGCUGGCGGUAGGCCUAACACAUGCAAGUCGAACGGCAGCACAGUAAGAGCUUGCUCUUACGGGUGGCGAGUGGCGGACGGGUGAGGAAUACAUCGGAAUCUACUUUUUCGUGGGGGUUAACGUAGGGAAACUUACGCUAAUACCGCAUACGACCUACGGGUGAAAGCAGGGGAUCUUCUGACCUUGCGCGAUUGAAUGAGCCGAUGUCGGAUUAGCUAGUUGGCUGGGUAAAGGCCCACCAAGGCGACGAUCCGUAGCUGGUCUGAGAGGAUGAUCAGCCACACUGGAACUGAGACACGGACCAGACUACUACGGGAGGAAGCAGUGGGGAAUAUGGGACAAUGGGCGAAAGCCUGAUACAGCCAUACCGCGUGGGUGAAGAAGGCCUUCGGGUUGUAAAGCCCUUUUGUUGGGAAAGAAAAGCAGCAGGUUAAUACCCCGCUGUUCUGACGGUAACCAAAGAAUAAGCACCGGCUAACUUCGUG